GAGACCCACGUCAUUAUUUGCAACCAGUCCUCUUCGGAGGGUUGGGCACAAUAAUGAGACCGCCUCGGGCAACGGGGAGGAAGGUGUGGGCAACGGUAGGUCCGUAUGCCCCUAAUCCCCUGGGCUACACGCGCGAUUCAAUGGUUGGAACAAUGGGCUGCAACUCCGAAAGGAGAAGCCGAUCCCCUAAAUCCAAUCUUGGUUUGAAUCGAGGGUUGGAACUCACCCUCGUGAAAGCGAAAUCCCUAGUAAUCGCGUCUCACAAAGUUGCGAUGAAUGU
rnacentral:rRNA from 1 species